rnacentral:lncRNA from 1 species
UUUCACAAUUCUAAACGAAACCAACAACACUUUCACUUUGGCAGUACAAUAUUUGUGGCAAGAUUUUAUGCGAUCAUUUCGAUGGAAAGAAGACACAAAUGUGUUAUCUUGAAUUGUGAAGUAAGAAAGAUUUAAUUGAAAUGGCAAGUGCUUCAUCAGAAAGUGUUCCUGUUGAUGAAAUCAACGAACUACUCACAUGUUGCAUGUGUUUGGAAACCCUACAGGAACCACGAAGCUUGGCUUGCUUUCAUAAUUUUUGUAAAGUGUGUUUAGGUGAGUAAUAUUUUCUUUGUUUAAAAGGUCUACUUGACGCAUGCUUUGCGUGGAUAUUUUACAGUUUAAUAAUUAAAUACCCGAG